ACCAGAGCUGAGGAGCUUGUUGGGGACCUACAUACGUCCCUAUGAGAUCAGAGUUCCACUGGCGCUUGAGCGCUACAUUCCCUUUACCCUAGUUUUACAUUUAUAUGAUUUCAUACAAUGGGGACAUUACAUGAUUUCUAAGUUAAGGGUGGGGGUGUACCACAACUGAGGGUUCUUAUUGUUAUGUUUAGUUUUUCUUGGC
rnacentral:lncRNA from 1 species